GACAGAGGGUGCAAACGUUGCUCGGAAUCACUGGGCGUAAAGGGCGUGUAGGCGGGACAGUAAGUCGGGCGUGAAAUCCCUGGGCUCAACCCAGGAACUGCACUCGAAACUACUAUUCUUGAGUGUCGGAGAGGAAAGCGGAAUUCCUGGUGUAGAGGUGAAAUUCGUAGAUAUCAGGAGGAACACCAGUGGCGAAGGCGGCUUUCUGGACCGAUAA
rnacentral:rRNA from 1 species